rnacentral:rRNA from 1 species
UACGAAGGGUGCAAGCGUUACUCGGAAUUACUGGGCGUAAAGGGUGCGUAGGUGGUUUUUUAAGUCCGUUGUGAAAUCCCCCGGGCUUAACCUGGGAACUGCAUUUGUGACUGCAUAGCUAGAGUACGGUAGAGGGGGAUGGAAUUCCGCGUGUAGCAGUGAAAUGCGUAGAUAUGCGGAGGAACACCGAUGGCGAAGGCAAUCCCCUGGACCUGUACUGACGCUCAUGCACGAAAGACGUGGGG